rnacentral:tmRNA from 1 species
GGGAGCGCACUGGUUUCGACGGGGUCGUUGAGAUCGGGAAAGCGGGUAGAGGAUUCUCGUUGGCCUCUUUAAAAAACGGGAAACUUUUUAUAAUUGCCAACAAACCGGCACUUGCAGCGGCUUAACCGCUGCCGUCCCCGCGGUCAAUCUGCUAGCCGCGUCAGGACGUCAGAAGCAGACCUUUCCCCUUAGGCAGGUCAAAGGGGGCUCCCGGCGGGCCAAGGUCUUGAGGCCCUGCCGCGUAUGAUCAGACUACCCGGCCAUCAAGCUUGUCCGUGGACUUGGCGGGUUGGGGAAAACGGACCACGGACUGCACCCGGAGAAGUCCCUUUCAAGGUGAUUUCGGACAGGGGUUCGACUCCCCUCGCUUCCACCA